rnacentral:lncRNA from 10 species
CUAUGGACAUGCACCAGCCCAGCCACUUCCUUCCUCUACUGCAGUUUCCGCUGGGCCCAUGGCCAUCCCCCCCAAUCACUGCUGGUGCACAUGUGAGCAGGCAGAUCUUGCCUUCUCUGCCCUGCCAGUGUGCAUGUGUGCAUGUGCCCUGCCCUGCCACUGCUGCUGGCAUGAGUGAACUCAGCCUCCUCCUCCCCACACCAUGCCAUCAUUGCAGUCAAAGCCUUGGCAGGCACAGAGUCCACCAGCCUCACCUUCACCAGUGCCUUGCCCCUGCACUAACACUGCUGCUGGAGUGAAACUAGGCAGGGAGAACAGUGGACUUACCACACCCUGAGCAGCCACCCUUGCCUGCAAAAACUCAGACAGAGGGUGCACGCAGACCAGCACCUGCCAGUCUCCCGCUCCCAUGCUAACACCACUACCAGCGGGACAGCAUGCGAAGUUGCCAUUGGGCGUGAGGGGCCCACCUUCCCAUGUCAUGCUGCCUCCACUGCUGCUGCCAAUGCCCACAUGGAGGCUGGCACCUGGGCACCCCCUAGCACCCUGCCAUAGCCAAUGAGCAUGCACCCUGCUGCGCUGCCACUGCCACUACCACUGGCACAUGUGAAUGAGGACAGAUUCCACUGCCACUGCCCUACAAAAUGCUUUGGCUGGCACCACCCAUUGGAGUGUUGUGACCAGCAGUCAGGGAGCACCUUGGCUGCACCCAGCACAGUGGGUUCCUAACCUUGAGGAGCCAGAGAACGAAGUUGGGCCUGAUACCAAUCCCCUAGGGUUAGGGUAUGCAGUCUAGGAGUUGGAAGCCUAGCUUUGGCUCCCUGAAAUUUUCCAGAAAUGAAGCCAGUCAUUUGAACUCAUCUUAUAACACAAGCAAACCCUCAAGGUCAUCAAAUAGGAUACAAGAGAAAAAAAAACCAUCCCAAGGACAGCAACUUCAAAGACUGAAGGAACAUCAGUCUGCAAACAUGAGAAAGACCCAGAGCAAGAACUCUGAAAACACAAAAAACUAGAGUACCUUCUUUCUCCAAAUGACCACACUAGCUCUCCAGCCAGGGUUCUGAACCCGCACAUGUACCCCUAAACUUAAAAGAUUUUUAAAAAAGAGAUUCAGAGAAGGACUGUAGCUGUGGACCCAAGCUCCCUUCAAAGCACUGGCAGGUCAAUCGUUUGCAACGCAGACAGCUGUAUGUAGAGCUCUGUGAUCCACCCAAUUAUUGGCUCAUCAAGGAGUGUGCCACAUGCCAGAUGCUCUGCAGAACCCAACAGAGGGGUUGCUCCUCCAUGGAAACAACAAGAAGCUUUGAUCAAAGAGCCUGUAUUGACUCCUUCAGUGAAAUUCUUGACUGAAAUAAUCACCUUCUUAAAAUACACACAUGGUGAGGUUUGAAGAGGGGAAAUUGCCAUCCAGGUCAACCAACAAGCCUCACUCGUUUGGAGGUAAAAAUUGGCAGCCAGGAUGACUGGGGACUCUUCCCCAGACAUCCAGGAAUCCUUGAGCAUUGGAGUGGCA